UACGUAGGGGCCUAGCGUUGUCCGGAUUUAUUGGGCGUAAAGAGCUCGUAGGCGGUUUGUCGCGUCUGCUGUGAAAAACUCGGGGCUUAACCCCGGGCCUGCAGUGGGUACGGGCAGACUAGAGUGCGGUAGGGGAGACUGGAAUUCCUGGUGUAGCGGUGAAAUGCGCAGAUAUCAGGAGGAACACCGGUGGCGAAGGCGGGUCUCUGGGCCGUAACUGACGCUGAGGAGCGAAAGCGUGGGGAGCGAACAGG
rnacentral:rRNA from 1 species